GACGAACGCUGGCGGCGUGCUUAACACAUGCAAGUCGAACGCUGAAGACCUGGCUUUUGUUGGGUUGGAUGAGUGGCGAACGGGUGAGUAACACGUGAGUAACCUGCCCUCUUCUUUGGGAUAACGCCCGGAAACGGGUGCUAAUACUGGAUAUUCACUGAUCUUCGCAUGGGGGUUGGUGGAAAGGUUUGUUCUGGUGGGGGAUGGGCUCGCGGCCUAUCAGCUUGUUGGUGGGGUGAUGGCCUACCAAGGCUUUGACGGGUAGCCGGCCUGAGAGGGUGACCGGUCACAUUGGGACUGAGAGACGGCCCAGACUCCUACGGGAGGCAGCAGUGGGGAAUAUUGCACAAUGGGCGAAAGCCUGAUGCAGCGACGCCGCGUGAGGGAUGGAGGCCUUCGGGUUGUAAACCUCUUUCGCUCAUGGUCAAGCCGCAACUGUGGGUUGUGGUGAGGGUAGUGGGUAAAGAAGUGCCGGCUAACUACGUG
rnacentral:rRNA from 1 species